rnacentral:rRNA from 1 species
UACGGAGGGUGCGAGCGUUGUUCGGAAUCACUGGGCGUAAAGGGCGUGUAGGCGGUCCGCUAAGUCUGAUGUGAAAGCCCGGGGCUCAACCCCGGAAGGGCAUUGGAAACUGGCGGACUCGAGUCCCGGAGAGGAAGGUGGAAUUCCUGGUGUAGCGGUGAAAUGCGUAGAUAUCAGGAGGAAUACCGGUGGCGAAGGCGGGUCUCUGGGCAAUUCCUGACGCUGAGGCGCGAAAGCGUGGGGAGCAAACGGG